rnacentral:rRNA from 1 species
UACGGAAGGGGCUAGCGUUGCUCGGAAUUACUGCGAAGACGCACGUAGGCGGAUCUUUAAGUCAGGGGUGAAAUCCUGGAGCUCAACUCCAGAACUGCCUUUGAUACUGAGGACCUUGAGUUCGGGAGAGGUGAGUGGAACUGCGAGUGUAGAGGUGAAAUUCGUAGAUAUUCGCAAGAACACCAGUGGCGAAGGCGGCUCACUGGCCCGGAACUGACGCUGAGGUGCGAAAGCGUGGGGAGCAAACAGG